CACUGCCUGUGGCACUGGCUGGAACCUGAUCUGGAAAAGGAUUCCGGAGAUUUGCCUAAUCUGGGAGCUGUACUUACGUUUGCUGUUUCUUGGAGGCAGUUUGCUGCUGCCAGUUCUGGUGGAGCCGUUCCCUGUCUUCCCACUGGCCUUGCACUCACAGUGUCCAUUAUCUGUCUGCAAUGGGUUUCCCACUUCAUCUAUAAUCAGAAGUUAAAAAGAGAAGAUACUUCUUUAGCCCCUUGAUGGCAGAUUUUCAAAGGAAGAAUAUUUACUAGUGCCUACUACAUGACAAGACUUACAAAUAAAUCUUAUUUAAUUGUAUAAAACAGUGACUGGUCUGUAGUUGUUGGCUCAAAAAAUAUUUGCUGAGUGAAGAAAGCAUGAAUCAUUUUAUGGGUGAAGAGAGUGGGACUAGAGAGGUUAGGAACCUGCUCAAGGACAUGAGCCAGUAAAUGGCAGAGUGAGAUUUUAGCUAUCUGGUUACUCACCAUGCUAGCUCCCGUAGUAAGUGGUCAAACCCCUUAAAGAGUACACCAAGACUGGCACCUUUAGGUAUCAUUACUUACAAUAUAUAAAUUAUCACAUCUGUCCACCCCCCUCUGACCUUGGAUGAAGUUGAUAAACAUCUCAAGAUCUCGGAUCUGAGUUUUCAGCUGCUCAACCAACUGUUCUUUCACUCGGGCUGGAUUUACAAUCUGAGCCACAGCUGCAUCGACACGUUGCCGAAGCUCUUCAGUAGACAGUGAACUGAUGUCCUCAUUCAGAUUCAUGUCCAGUUUCUUUAUUAAUUCAUCUAUGAUCACCUAUCAAGACCACAAGCAAUGAGCACACCCUUUGGAAUUUUCAGGGAGAAGGUUAGGAAGAAAGAAAAUCUUUACUGGCAUACCUCCUACCCUUAAAUAGAAAUCAAAGACACAAAGAACUAUCAAAUUCAUGAGAGAAAUGAUGUAAUUGCUUAUUAGGUAAGGAUAGACCUUUUUUCUCUGGGAGUAACAAGAACCUUUGGUUCCUGUCCGACAGAAAUGGCUCUUCUAACUACAAAUGUUCUACCGGACUAGGCAACUUUCACUCAGGUGACUAACAGCAUGAAUAAUCCAAAGUGGCCGAUGAUCCAAAAAUCUUCAUACUUAGCUUCCCCCAAGGUCUCCAAGAGAAUAAAUACUGGUUUCUCUUAGUUUCUAGUCCUUCUCAUCCCUUCUUGUUCUACUCUAAGUAACUAAAGAAAAAUCUUUACAAAACAUGAAGGUAUAUUAUAGCCAAAAUAUCCUACUAACAAUAUUAGGAACAAUGAAAUCUUGGUAAUGCAACUGCAGCCCAGGCAGAGAAAUAGCCACGUCAAAAGGAGAGACAAACAUGUAGGGGAGGCUGUAGCUGUAUUUCUACUAGCUGAUUUACCUGUCUACCCAAAAGUUGUUUAAAUAAAUACAGCAUUAAAGUCA